rnacentral:rRNA from 1 species
GUACACGCUGUGACUAGCAUAUCAAUAAGCGGAGGAAAAGAAACUAACAAGGAUUCCCUUAGUAACGGCGAGUGAAGCGGGAAGAGCUCAAAUUUGAAAUCUUCAAGGUUUUACCUUGACGAAUUGUAGUUUAAAGAAGUGUUUUCUGUUGAAGUUUUGGUAAAAGUUCUUUGGAAUAGGACAUCAUAGAGGGUGAGAAUCCCGUAUUUGACCAUUAUUUUCAGCUGUGUGAUACACUUUCAAAGAGUCGGAUUGUUUGGGAAUGCAGUCCAAAAUGGGUGGUAAAUUUCUAUCUAAGGCUAAAUAUUGGCGAGAGACCGAUAGCGAACAAGUACCGUGAGGGAAAGAUGAAAAGAACUUUGAAAAGAGAGUUAAAUAGUACGUGAAAUUGUCCAAAAGGGAUGCGUUUAACACCAGUGUUGUUUUCUGAAAAUCAACCUCUGUUAGCUUUAUGCAUGUUUGUUUAGACCUAAUCAGCUAUCUUGCAUGUUCUAUUGUUUGCAGUGGUGCACUUUUCAGUUUACAGGUCAACAUCAGUUUUUUUUACCGUAAAAAAGUUAAAGAAAGGUAGCUCAUGGCUCCGGUCGUGAGUGUUAUAGUCUUUUUCCUAUGCGGUAGGAGAGACUGAGGUCUGCAGUGUAGGCUAUUUGGCUAGAUACUCAGGUGCUAUGUGAUACCAUUUCAUAAACAACUUGUUGAUUAUGUUUUGUCUAUUGCAUACUCGCUUGUACUAUCAUACCUACGCUUAGGAUGUUGACGCAUGAGAUAUACGC